AUGCAUAUUGUCAAUCCCAUCACAUCUGAACAGAUCGCUCUCCCCUCGGUGAUCACCAUCGCGCAAGUGACACCAGUUUUCGAUGAAACAGGUGCCUUAUGUAAGUACAUUUACUCUCGGGACACGGCGGAGCACCGUAGUACCACUGAUCCUCAAGCCGUUGAUCUUGGCGAGCUGCCACAAUACCUCCAGAAAAAGGCAUUUGUAUUUUAUGAUGCAUCCACAGGAGGCUACAUCGUGGUGCUUAUUCAUGAUCCAGAUGGCCAACUCUCAUUUGCUUGGUUAGGGGAUGACAAGUGGACCUGGCUGAAACCACGUUGUUUUUUUCAAGACUGCGUGUACAAAGAUGGUAUGUUAUAUGCAGUGGCAUCGCUAGGAGAAAUUUACGCCUUCGAUCUCAAAGGCCCUGUGGUCGCAACGAAGUUAAUUGCAGCCUGGGCAGAUAUCUUCAGUUGUCCAACAUUUUACAUUGUUCAUGCUCCAUGUGGGGAUCUGAUGCAAGUUUUUAGAUCCCAACAUGUGGUUGACUGUGAUCCAUGUGCUGACACUGCAACGCAUGUCCACUAUACCUCUAAGAUCAAAAUAUUUGAAGUUGUGACUAUGCCUGAAAAGGAUGUGGGAAUAAAUAGCUUGAAGGAUCAUGUGUUGUUGGUUGGCCAGAACCAAUCACUUUGUCUCUCUGCUGAAGAAUAUCCACAGUUGAAGGCAAACAAUGUGUAUGUUACCGAUGACCACAAGUAUCUAACUUUUUACAAGAAUAACCGGCGUGACAUUGCAGUUUUUGACCUGGCAAAUAACAGUAGUGAGGAACUUGUCUCCCCUCCACUUUGGUCCAACUGGCCUACUCCCAUAUGGAUAACACCUAGUCUUACAAAACCGUAUCCAACAUUGGAUAAUCUAUGA
rnacentral:rRNA from 1 species